rnacentral:rRNA from 1 species
UACGAAGGGUGCAAGCGUUAAUCGGAAUUACUGGGCGUAAAGGGUGCGUAGGCGGUUCGUUAAGUCUGUCGUGAAAUCCCCGGGCUCAACCUGGGAAUGGCGAUGGAUACUGGCGAGCUAGAGUGUGUCAGAGGAUGGUGGAAUUCCCGGUGUAGCGGUGAAAUGCGUAGAGAUCGGGAGGAACAUCAGUGGCGAAGGCGGCUGCCUGGACCCGGCCUGACGCUGAGGCGCGAAAGCGUGGGGAGCGAACAGG